AUUGAACGCUGGCGGCAGGCUUAACACAUGCAAGUCGAGCGGAGAGAGGUAGCUUGCUACUGAUCUUAGCGGCGGACGGGUGAGUAAUGCUUAGGAAUCUGCCUAUUAGUGGGGGACAACAUUUCGAAAGGAAUGCUAAUACCGCAUACGUCCUACGGGAGAAAGCAGGGGAUCUUCGGACCUUGCGCUAAUAGAUGAGCCUAAGUCGGAUUAGCUAGUUGGUGGGGUAAAGGCCUACCAAGGCGACGAUCUGUAGCGGGUCUGAGAGGAUGAUCCGCCACACUGGGACGGGGACACGGCCCAGACUCCUACGGGAGGCAGCAGUGGGGAAUAUUGGACAAUGGGCGGAAGCCUGAUCCAGCCAUGCCGCGUGUGUGAAGAAGGCCUUAUGGUUGUAAAGCACUUUAAGCGAGGAGGGGGCUCUUUUGGUUAAUACCCAAGAUGAGUGGACGUUACUCGCAGAAUAAGCACCGGCUAACUCUGUGCCAGCCGCCGCCGUAA
rnacentral:rRNA from 1 species